ACCACACCUGGCCUAAGAAUUUGUUUGAAGAUAGGAUUUAAUGGAGUAAAAAUAGCUCUCAAACCACAGCCAUGGUCUCACAUUACUCAGAUGGGGAAAGAGCUUUAGAGGAUAAGUGGUUUGUCCCAGGUAGCACAGCAAGGCACUGAGGGAGCCCUAGCAGGACCCACACUCCUGUCUCCCAGCUGCCCUUCCUUCUCAAGGCUGCCUUUCAGAUCCUCCUGAAGGCAAGAAGUGAUCCCAGCCUCCAGAUGGAAAGAUCAAGGCCCAGAGAAGGACCCCCAUACCCUGCUCCCAGCAUCGUCUGCCUCAGCUAAGCCAUGGGGAUUGAGAGAAUGGAGCUAAAGGGCACAGCUCAUAGUCCUGGCUGCCCUAGCCAGACAUCUGCCCCACUGUGGGUGCCUCAGCGAUUCCUGGGGAGUCAGGCAAUACCUGUUCCCAGAGCCCCCACUUCUCUUAGAAACAGAAAAUAGCUCUGGGCCUCAUAAGUGCCAGGAUCUAUCUAAGCACUUGGUGUGUGUUAGCUCACUGUACCCUCAGAGGAGGUAAUUGAGGCACAAG
rnacentral:lncRNA from 1 species